ensembl:lncRNA novel transcript
UAUGGCCACGGAUGGUGCCCAGUUCAAGCAGGAAUAAAACACCACGCGAGGCUAACUGGCCUAAGUCCUUCGAGUGGAGCGCAGAAACUUGCUUUAAGAGAGCCUGAUUAAAGGCCCCAAGUCCAUUUUAAGGCAUGGUUUUCUAUUAAGCCUUUAAUGCUUACAGAAGUAUACAUUUUCCAUAGAAAGGGAACCUAAACUGUCCUAAUAUGUGGGCAGUUUAGCUCCUGACUCCCAACUUGGCCAGAGGUGUGGUGAAUCAGCAUGUCACAUUCCACUAAAAGAUGCUUCCCUGUUUAUGUUUGUUUGGUGUUUAGGAAUGUAAUAACUAUACUAGAGUUCUUUCUUAGGCUGUGGUCUGCCUCUGAGGGAACUGAAAGUGAUGCAGAGAGCCAAAACCAGCAUCAUGAUUCUAUCAGAAAGCGUAUGUUUGUGUCCUUCAUUAGGAACAUUGCCGUUCUAUGCUACCGAAUGAAGAGGAUCUUAUUGAUACCUCCCUCUCGCUUCUGCCUCCAAACCAAUCCCUUGCUUCCUUCCACCCAGAAAUAAAAGGACACUCUGAGUUAUGGCAUUAUCAGUGAAUUUUCAGUGGGUAGGAUGUUCUGAGCAGUGAAAACUAUAAAUAAAUUGGUUCUACGCUGGAAUUAGCUGUGGAGCCGGAAAGAUAAACACAGGACAACUAAUUGCAGCCGCACGAUUAACAAGAAUGUUGUUCUAAGGAGAGAAAAAGUCAACAGCAUUAAUGAAAAUUAAGCAGUAUCUCAAUGGUACUAGUAAAUAAAUAAAUAUAUGUCUAUGUUUAAUUAAAAGCAAGACCCAAUUAUGUCUCACUUCUUACUGAGCUACUUAAAUCAAGACAGUCUAAUGUUAAAUGAGAAAAAUCAACUCAGGACACUGUCAUCUGCAUUUAAUCAAGACUUCUGUGUCUCACACAAGCUUUCAAGAUGGGUAGCGGUAGGGGUGUGUGUUUAGGAGUCUCAUGCAAACUUCCCAUUGCCCUGCAGUGGACAGGUCUAUAGAUCUCCAGUUGGAGUACAGAAAUCUUCUAGAAGAAUUGUGACUGUAAAGCCACUUCUAUAACUCUUACUCUGUGAUUCUGAUGCAAACAUACCAUUUUGGGUUAAUAUAAGCAAAGCUUGUAUCUAGAACUAUAGCUAAAAGUAUCAAUGUGGUGUUAUUUUUUUUCUGACAAUAAAAGCAAUACAUAAAUGUGCAGCAAAAUGUUUACUUAAGGUUUUGCUUCUUUUCAACUAAAUUUGUUUAGUACACAUUAAAGGUCAGAUGUGGGGAAGAUAGAUUGGGGGUCAGGGGUUGUUUCUACCUGCUUUGUCUAAAUACCUUACCGCAGUCAAUGUCCUUAGUUGUUUUGUGUCUACCCCCAUUAACUGAAAACCCAAGGUGAGAAAGUCUUCCUUGCUGAGUUUAGUGACAGUUCUCUCCCAGGUGAAGGGGAUGGGGUAAGAGGCAGAAACCCCUGUCUCCAGAGGAAUCUGAAGAGAGAGUGUGCUUUGAUGACCCCGGGGGUGCAGGAAGGAAGUGGGGCCCAAGCAGGCAAUGACUAUGCCUGGCCCUGGAGUUGCGUACUUGGCCCUUACUGUAUCAUUUCUUGUCUCACUUCCUCUCACUUGUCAGGAAUGUUGCCAGGACUGGUGAAAAGACAAGUGAGAUACCACGCCAAAUAAAGCCAAAUCCUUGAAAGAAAGAUGCGAUGGUCUACAAAUCAAAGUAAUUUCUUCUUUCACUAUUACUGAUGCAAAUGUCUUUCUUUUCUUCAUCUCACAAGGUUUUUUUGGUGUGUUUUUUUUUUAAAUCUUUCAUGAAAGGCUCAUCAUUUACUGGCUCUCUUACCCUGGAAAUAACAUUAUCAGAAGCUAUUUAUUGAGCAUUUCUUCUGUGCUGGGCGCUAUGCAAGGCCGAAGAAUACAGUCAGGAUCAGACACAGUCCCUCCAAGAUGGGGUAUAUAAAUUUAGUAAAUUUCUUACUUUCUCUGAACCUUGAUCCCCUCAUUUAUUACAUAGGACAUUUUUUAAAAUAGUAAUACAUACAUCCUGAAUUUUUUUUCCUAAAACAGGGUAGUGCUGUGUCACCAAGGCUGGAGGGCAAUAGCAUGAUCACGACUUACUGCAGCCUUGAUCUCUUGGGCUCAAGCAAUCCUCCUGCCUCAGCCUCCCAAGUAGCUGGGACUACAGGCAUGCACCAGCACACUGGCUAAUUUUUUUAAAACUUUUUGCAGAGACAUAGAGACCGGGUUUUACUAUGUAGCCCAUGCUGGCCUCAAACUCCUGGGCUCUAGCAAUCCUCCUGCCUUGGCCUCCCAAACUGCUGGCAUUACAGGUGUGAGCCACCAUGCCUGGCUCUGGAAAUGUUUUGAGGACUACAUAAAAUAAUGUAUAUAAAAGGGCCUAGCAGAAUAUAACUAGAAGCUCAACAAAUGUUAUACAUUCUUCCCCCCCAGUCAUAAGCAGGAAAACAAAAAAAAUUAAAUCCACACAUUUCCCCAUUUCUUAACAGUUUUUUUUUAAAGGGUGGUGUUGGGAGAAACUUGAAACUUUUGAUUAAAAAAAUAGCUACUUAGGAUUAAAUAGCAAAUCAUAGGUCAGAAAUCACAGGACAAGCAAUUCUUUAAGCCAAGCUUUCCCUGUCAGGAUACCUUCCACAGGGGAGCAGCCCCUUCACUGGCAGUGAGAAAGGUGCUCAUUUGAAUAUCAAGCAACGGACCAGUGAAAAUUGGUAGAGAGCCAUGGAAAUGCUACUGCUAGGUCUGUCCCUCAUGACCUGAUAGGCUCUGUGGACAUGGGCAACCCCAGACCCUGGUGACAAAAUAAGCAACAGACCCGUUUCCGGGUGCAUCUCAGGUGAAUUCUGCUCACAGCCAGAGGAAAAUGAGUGUUUCUGAUUCUUCCUCUCCCUUCGUCAGCUUUUCCUCUGGCCUUGCCUAGGUCCCCAGGCUUAGUACUAAAGUCCCAUCAUUCAGUCAGUUCAAAUCCCAACUAAACUCCAGAGAUGGCUGGGAGGGGCUGAGUGUACUUGGUGGAGGCAGAGGCCAAAAAGCACAGUGGAUGAAGCAUCGGGUGGUGGGGUGGGAAACAUGGGAUCUCACCCCUUAGCUGUUGCUGAUGAACUGGGGACCCAGAUAAGAUGCUGUGGCUUCCUGCAUCUCAGCUUGUUUGUCUGUAAAAUGAAGGACUUGGCCCAGAUGUCUCAAUGGCUCACCCAGCGCUAUUCUCCUAUCAUCUCUCUCGGGAAGCUGGUCAGGUUUCCAGGAUCACCUUUCUUCUCUAAUCUCCACCCAGGCAAAGGCCAGAAAAGCGACCUUCAGAAGGAGCCAGCACCCCAGCUCCUGCCUCAGGGCGAUAUGAAGACCCCAGGAAGGAAAUUAUGCUGAGAAAAGGAGAUCACACCUCUGUCCAGCCUGCACCGGCCCCUUGGCAUGCCCUGAAGACACAAGGCCUAAAUCAAGGUCAAAGACACAGCCCUCCUGGUUGUGAAGAUUCCAAAGGCUCCCAGCUGCAUGAGGAGGGUUACCCAGAAUGUCAGAUUUGGAGCAAUUCAGCGAGAACCCUUCAAAAUUCAGUGUGGUAUGUGGAAGGUAAGAGGCAGACAGGCCACCAGGAGGUGGGUUUUAUUUCGUGUGCACAAAGUUUUAAAAAAUACAUGUGCACCAUUAAAAGGG